GUGCAGGCCUUGGCAGCACAUAUACUAAAAUUGGAAUGAUACAAAGAAGAUUAGUAUGGUCCCUGUGCAAGGAUGACAUGGAAAUUUGUGAAGCAUUCCAUAUGGGG
rnacentral:snRNA from 1 species